UACAGAGGAGCCAAGCGUUGUCCGGAUUGACUGGGCGUAAAGCGCACGCAGGCGGACGCGCGCGUGGGGUGUGAAAUCUGGCCGCUUAACGGCCAGGCGCCAUCCCAUACGGCGCGUCUGGAGGGCUGCAGAGGUCGAUGGAAUUGCCGGUGUAGUGGUGAAAUGCGUAGAGAUCGGAAGGAACGUCAAUGGCGAAGGCAGCCACCUGGCAUAAUACUGACGCUGAGGCGCGAAAGCGUGGGGAGCGAACAGG
rnacentral:rRNA from 1 species